GACGAACGCUGGCGGCGUGCUUAACACAUGCAAGUCGAACGGAAAGGCCCUGCUUUUGUGGGGUGCUCGAGUGGCGAACGGGUGAGUAACACGUGAGUAACCUGCCCUUGACUUUGGGAUAACUUCAGGAAACUGGGGCUAAUACCGGAUAGGAGCUCCUGCUGCAUGGUGGGGGUUGGAAAGUUUCGGCGGUUGGGGAUGGACUCGCGGCUUAUCAGCUUGUUGGUGGGGUAGUGGCUUACCAAGGCUUUGACGGGUAGCCGGCCUGAGAGGGUGACCGGCCACAUUGGGGCUGAGAUACGGCACAGACUCCUAAGGGAGGCAGCAGUGGGGAAUAUUGAACAAUGGGCGGAAGCCGGAUGCAGCAACGCCGCGUGCGGGAUGACGGCCUUCGGGUUGUAAACCGCUUUCGCCUGUGACGAAGCGUGAGUGAAGGUAAUGGGUAAAGAAGCACCGGCUAAAUACGUG
rnacentral:rRNA from 1 species